AUGUUCACUGUUAUAUUCAUGUGUCUGUGGCUUUCACUGGGUGACUCCAUGGCAGAUUCAAUAAAGCCACUUUUCACUCAUAAAGUUGUAGAUGAAGGUGUUAAUGUUACUCUUUCCUGCGAAUAUGAAACAACUGCAACAAACAACUACCUGCAAUGGUACAGGAAAUAUCCAAAAUCUAAACCUGAGUUCCUUCUUUAUAUUUACCAAAGUGGAGAUCCAAAAUCCGAACCUCCCCCAAGAAUGUCUGCUAACGUUAAAGAUAAACGAGUGGAUCUGAUCAUCUCCUCUGCUGCUGUAUCAGACUCUGCUCUAUACUACUGUUUGCUCAUGUGA